GAAAAGGGUAUUGUUGUGUUGCCAUAUUUGUGUGUCCUUAUUAUUAGGCUAAAAUGAUAUCAGAGUCUAGCAGACAUAGUCUCUAUCCCUUAGUCUGUUAGGGUUUAUCCUAUUAUCCGUUGCCAAUUUUUUCACUACUUUGUUGCAAGCCUUUUCAUUGCUUUGCUACAACUUUACUUUUUUGUUUUGACUCCUUUAAAAGCUUUUUCAUUACUUUGCUGCAAGCUUUUUUUUGAUUCAUACUUUACUCAUUGACAAGUUUUUUCAUUACUGAUUUAUUGCAAGAUUUCCAUUUUUUCUUUUGAUUCUUACUUUACUCCUUCUCUAUAGUAAUAUUUUCUUGAUAUUUAAGCAUGUCAACUUUUUGUAGCACUGGAUCUGCUACUAAAGCAACUGGAUCUGACCCUCAUGGGUCUUCGUCCACUCUUCUUACAUCUCCAUUGUUCUCCACUAAGAAGGUGAGUCUUCCACUCAAGAAAGAUAACUACCUAUUAUGAAAACAAUAAACUUCACUCACAAUUAGGAGUCACAAUCUCCACUACCACUUGAAUGACUCUUAUGUUAUUCCUCAAGCCACCAUUGUUGAGGCUGGAAAAGAGUUCCCAAAUCCUAAGUUCCUUACAUACAAGCAGCAAGAUAGUGCUCUUGUAACUUGGUUACUCACUUCAGUCAGUCUGAAUAUCCUCUCUUCCCUUGUUCGAUUAAUAACCUCUACUACCAUUUGGAAGACACUCACCCAGAUCUUUGAUAGACCACCACUAGAAUUAUGCAUCUUUACAACAUUCUUAACGGACAACGUAAUGGCAACAAAAGUAUGUUUGAAUAUCUCUCUAGCAUCAAAUCUCUUUGUGACUCACUGGAAAGUUGUGGUGAACGAGUUUCUAAUUCGGUUCACCUUGCUACUAUUCUUACUGGACUUACCCCAAAGUAUGAUCAAGUGAUUUAUUUAAUUACCGCUAGUCAACAUCUUUUUACUAUUAAACAGUUGACUAGCAUGCUACUUGAUGCAGAAGCUCGACAAUAAGACAAUAUUAUUCAUCUCUCUACCGCUGUUAACCUUGUCACUACUAGGCAACUCCUAUUUCUGCAACACCCUCACUUCAUAGUCUACUUCUUUAUCAGCCUCCAAGUUACCAUAGUUCUCCAUGACCUACUGCACAUUCUCUUUUCUAAGGAAGAGGUCGUGGGAGAGGACUAGGCAUCAAUGUCAGUUAUGUGGGAGAUAAGGACAUCUUGUUAAUUGAUGCUUGUAUAGAUUUGACCUUAGCUUCACUGGUCCUAUUCCUGCCUAGCCUUUGCCUCCACCACAGUUUUAACUACCUUCACAUUCUUAUCCUUCUCCUUACUACAAACCAAGAACUUCUCCAUUCAAUUCCUCUUUUGGCACCCCACACAAGUAUAUUCACCACUUAGAUUCACCUACCCUCAGAUCUCCACCCAACCUCCAUUAAUUCUCAACAAUUUUUCUAGUUCUCAAAAUUACUAUAGCAAUGGAUUUUCAACCUCACAUAUCACUCCAAAGGCUCACAUAGUCACUUCUGAAAUAGUCAAUGACUGUGCUUGGUACCCAAACUCUGGAGCCACUCACCAUAUUACUAAUGAUCCAACCAAUGUGAACAAUGCCUCCCACUACACAGACUCAGGCAGUAUUAUAGUAGGGAAGAGAAAGUUGAAUUUGUCAAUGGAACCUACAACAAGGAGUCGUAUAGAGAAGAGCUUCAUGAGCAGUGGGAAACAUGUAAUGCAAUUUUGCUUUCCUGGAUCAUGAACACUGUGAGUGAAAGUCUGUUAUCUGGAAUUGUUUAUGCCACGAAUGCUUGUGUAGUUUGGGAAGAUUUGAAAGAAAGAUAUAACAAGGUGAAUCAUAUGCAAAUCGAGCUUUCCAGGAGAAAUUGUUGAUUCCAGAUGCUAUAGUAAAGCAGAUCAUACAAAAGAUUCAUGUUCAAUAAAGCACCAGGUCAUAUCAUUAGACGACUAUAUACUAUUGAACCAUGCACUCCAACUCCCUAAAUAGGAAUAGCUCAUUUUUUAUAUAAUUUGUUGUCAAUCAUGUGUGACAGUUAAUAGCCGACAGAUGUAUAAUAUUUGUAUUAGCGUGUGUAUUAAAAUUACGUAUAGUUCAUGAUUUUCAGGUGAAGGAUAUUCAACUGACCAACCCUUCGAUGAUAAGAUGAUAUAUAAUAUCAUAGAGAAGGGUAGAAACCUUUGUUUCUUAGAGAAUGACAUAAUGUUUUUUCUCUUUAGCCAAAUAAUCCAUAUGGGAAAACAAAGAAAUCUUAUCAUUUUCCACUUCAAUUUAUUCUCAAUGAAACCAACAUUUGAGUUUUC